rnacentral:rRNA from 1 species
AAGCGGCAAAAGCUCAGAUUUGGAAUCGCUUCGGCGAGUUGUGAAUUGCAGGUUGGCGCCUCUGCGGCGGCGGCGGUCCAAGUCCCUUGGAACAGGGCGCCAUUGAGGGUGAGAGCCCCGUGGGACCGUUUGCCUACGCUCUGAGGCCCUUCUGACGAGUCGAGUUGUUUGGGAAUGCAGCUCUAAGCGGGUGGUAAAUUCCAUCUAAGGCUAAAUACUGGCGAGAGACCGAUAGCGAACAAGUACUGUGAAGGAAAGAUGAAAAGCACUUUGAAAAGAGAGUGAAACAGCACGUGAAAUUGUUGAAAGGGAAGGGUAUUGCGCCCGACAUGGAGCGUGCGCACCGCUGCCCCUCGUGGGCGGCGCUCUGGGCGUGCUCUGGGCCAGCAUCGGUUUUUGCCGCGGGAGAAGGGCGGCGGGCAUGUAGCUCUUCGGAGUGUUAUAGCCUGCCGCCGGCGCCGCGAGCGGGGACCGAGGACUGCGACUUUUGUCUCGGAUGCUGGCACAACGGCGCAACACCGCCCGUCUUGAAC